rnacentral:lncRNA from 1 species
UAUUAGUACUAUACAUUUAGAGAAGAUUAAAAAAAGAAUAAGAAGAAGAUACGAUGGAUCUGUAGUGCCAGGGAGGGGAAUUGCAAUUUUAAAUAGGAUGGUCAGUGCAGGCCUCCUUCAGAAAGUGAGCAAUGUGAAGGAGUUAGCUAUAUGGAUCUCUUAGGGCAUUCACCAGGCAGAUAAAAAAACUAGUACAGAGGUCAUAAGAAGGGAAUGUGCCUGGAUAUUCACAGAACAGUAAAAAGGCCAGUGUGGCUGAGGCAGCGUGAGUUGGGGUAGAAGAAUAGGAUAAUGAGGUCAUAGAGGUACCAGUAGAACCAGCUCUUGUCAGGCUCUCCCUGGAGUACUGUGGGUUACCACUGGAGGGGUUUGAGCAGAGCCAUGGCAUAUACUGAUCUACGUGUAUGUGUUUCUAAGCAAAACUUCUUGGAAGAAAAGGAAAUUCUUAGAAGCAAUUAGAGUAUCACACCCAUGCUAUACCCUUUGAUUCAUUAGCUUGCUCUGUUUUUCUGUUAUUUUGAAAUUACCCAAGUGGAAGCAGAAAAACUGCCAGGAAAAUGUCACAGCCACCCCUUACUGAACAGCAGAAACACCAGCAAAACACCAACUGCAACAUGGUGUAUUUUGAAGGUGAGAUUAAAUUUACCUACACCUAGAGAAAUAAUUGGAGCACAUGUCUAUUUGGGCCAAGAGGAUAAAGGCCAGUAGAGGAAUCAGAUCAAAGAACUUCCUCAGGGAAGUGUGCAGAGAACUGGAGUGGACCUUCCCCUAGGAAGCUGCCCAAAACGAGAGUGCUGGAAAGCUGGCCGCAGUGAGGCACUUCAGAUCCCAAGGGUAUGCUGGGGAAGCUGCCACAGGUGGGAGCACUUGCUGCUGGACCCUAGGCACUGUUGAAACAACUGCACCAUCUGCAGGAGCCCAGCAAGCCAAAGCCAGGCAUCCCAUCUGGAGAGAGAGAAGACUGAAGCAGAAACACAAUGGGAAGGAAGCAAAGAUGGAGAGAUGAGUUUUUGGAUUCAACUGAAGCCCUUGCUAUCUGCUAGAGUCAGAGUCAUCACAAUUGGGGGGUCUUCAUUAAGCUACACUUUUUAAUGGAACAUCCUAGUGAGGUUUGAGAGUACAGCUUUAUGGUCUAUAUUACAUUACUAAGCCGAUUUUAUUGGAAAGAACUUGUUUGCAUCCCUGCUAGACAAAAACCUACAAGUUAACCUUUGCCCGUAUGGAGUUGUAAAACAGACCAGUUGAUAGAAAGAGAAGCCUGCUUCCCGAAGCCCUCAGCAGAAGCCGAGCAGAUGUUGGCACCAUGCUUCUUGUACAGCCUGCAGAACUUGAAGAAACACUCCAUAUUAGUUUUCUGGAGCCAUCGUUAUGAAGCAACACAGACUGGGUGGCAUAAACAAUGGAGAUUUAUUUUUUCACAAUUCCGGAGGCUAGAAGUUUGAGAUCAAGGUGUUGGAAAGUGUCUCAGGAUGAUACAUACCGGUUUUUAACUUUGGUGUCAUCAAAUGCAAUUGCAAUGUGACUGUUUCUUGAAAGCCCGAAC